rnacentral:rRNA from 1 species
AUGGUGAGCUGGCCCGACAUUUGCAAACCCAAAGACCAGGGUGGCCUUGGGAUCCUGUCAUCCCGACGCAUGAACAUUGCCCUCCUAACCCGAUGGCUGUGGCGUAUUGCCAAUGGGGAGGGAGACCUCUGGCUCACCAUCAUCCGUAAUAAGUACCUCCGUGGCCAACCUCUUGCCUUUUGCCAACGUACGGUUGGAUCCCAGUUCUGGCAGUCCGUGAUCUAG